rnacentral:piRNA from 1 species
UACUGUCGUGACGGUGAGUGUGCACACU